AUAUAAGUUUUUGUAAUUACGCUUUGAAAGUUCGAUUUACGGAAAAAAAAAACUUGAUUGUGUCAGUCUGUGAUUGGAUGAGGGAAAAAGAAUUUUUUUUUUUUUUCCGAUUUUCUCUCUCGUUUAUCUCGUCUCUCUUGUUGCUUUUGAAAGUAAUAGGAUCUCUACAGAGAAAAGCAGAGAAUUGAAGGAUGAUUCAAUUGGAAAGUGGAUUUUCAUCGACGGUAUCAUCAUCUCCACCGUUAGAGACGAGAUCGACGAUCUCGGUUCAUCAAUCCGGCAGACCUUUGGUUGACCAAAUCGGAUCUUAUAGUGGUUAAAUCUCCAACGGGGUAGUUCAAUAGACUAUAUAAGUUUUUUUCUUGGUCCUAAUCUUAUUGAUUUCCUUUGGAUCGACAUGCAUUACCGUUAUAGGGAUGUGAGAAGAAAUUAGGUUUGUAGGAAUUAGAAUCGAUUUUAGCAAAGUUUGAAGGUGAUAGAAUCUCAUUUCUUAAUGCGGUAGGAAUUAAAUCGUUAAGCAACGAAAAGGGCUAACCAACAUGCAUAUACAUCCUCACAUCUUCAGAUUGCAUUCAACUGAAGUUUAGUCAAGUCCUGUUCAUUAGUCAAGUUGGUUUUGUGUUUGAUCUGAAUCUUGUAGCUGUUAGAUGCGCUUAGAACUUGGUAUUUUCUCUUCUUAAAGAAACUCAUGUUGCUCGAGUUUUAACCUCGUGACGUUAGAUUGUGUUUUCUCAUGUUCUUAUAAUCCUUUUUGAGUUCUUAUCUUUUUACCUAUGCUUCUCUCUGCAUAUUUCUUCGUCAAUGCCAAGAAUGACACUUUCAUAAUCUAAUACUCAUUAUAAUAAUGUUACUUAAACUUGUUAUUGAACUAGUUGUCAAAUUCUUUGAAGGGUUCGAAUCAGGCAAAUAUGGUUUGUUUUUUUUCUUCUUGCAGUGAAUCCAAGAUUUGGGCUCUCGUGUGGCAAAAAAAAAAAAAAAAAAAAAAUUGAGGAAUUGGCAAGAAGGAUUCAAAACAGAAUGGAGUUUAACAAGCAGCAACAACAACAAGAACAAGUUAAAGUUUCUUCUUCUUCUAUGGAGGAGAAAACGAAUCCUUCCUGCAUUUCUCAAUUGAAUAUAUCUCCUCCUCUGCCAUUGCCACAUGCGGCCAACAUGGCUGGGGAUUUACUCAGGAGGGGGGCAAUGGACAUUCCGAUCCAGCAAGCUUGGACUCUGAUUUCACUGAGUACAAAAAGAAGGUCACUAUUAUUGUCGAGGACUGCUGACGACGUGAAAGCAAGGAUCAACGACUUGUUGAAAGAGUUCGUGAUGAGUGGAGACAAGACCGAAGCUUUUAGAUGCAUCAAAGGAUUGAAAGUAUACAAGUCUUAUAAAUUUAAACAAAAUACCAUAAUAAUUUACAGUUAAAAAGAAAAAUAUUUUUAAGAACCUCAAAUUUAACAACCUUUAAUAGACCUAUGAAAUAUUAAUUUCACUUUUUUCAAAAUUAAGAAUAAAAUUUGUUUUAAGAUAUUUUUAUUAUAUUCUUUGAUGAACAUGCCUAAGGUAAGAUUUGUACAUAGUUUGUUUGGAUGGUUCUCUACACAUGCUCACCACUUCCAUUAAUCGUUAUUCGUUUCCAAUAGAUUUUGUUGUUGUUGA